rnacentral:lncRNA from 1 species
AUGAGAAUUGUGUGGAGUGGACCAUCGAAGGAGUCUGGAUGCUACUGGAACAGCGGGUGGAGCACCUGGUGCCCGCCUUCCUGGGUAGAGACCCCACCUACCUCUGCACAUUCUUGGGAAUGUAGAGAGCUUUUGCUACCACCCAACAGGUCCUGGACCUACUGUUUAAGAGAUAUAGCUGCUUCCUUCCUGACACUGAGGAGGAUGGCAGACCCCGGGAGCAGGAGAAAAUGGCCUUCUCCAUACUGGGCACCUGGCUGGACCAGUACCCCCAGGAUUUUUUCCAGCCCCCACAUUUCAUCAGGCUGAAGAUGCUGAAGGCAUAUGUAGGGGUCCACAUUCCAGGCUCCAAACUGCAGUGCUGUGCCUGCCUUCUCUACUCAUCGUGGAGAAACCGUGAGCCCCAAGAGCCAGAGUCUUGGGGUGAGGAGGACUCUGAAUGGGAGAUGUGGGCAUGUGGAGGGGAUGGGGUAUGCCACACAGAGCACGUUUCCUGCGGCUGCGGGUGGGCUAGAAGCAGUGCGUAGUAUCAGAUCACUGUUUGAUUAGCAUGCCA